rnacentral:lncRNA from 1 species
CAAUAUCUUCCCAAGGGGUUCGUCAUGCAAUCGAAUCCUUAACUCGUUACAAGUUCGAGGACUUGAAAGCUGCUACAGGGAACUUCGGUGAAUCCAACAGGAUUAAGGGGUCAGUUUUUCGAGGUUCUUUCCAAGGUGAUGAUGCUGCUGUGAAAGUAAUGAAAGGGGAUGUUUCUUCAGAGAUCAAUUUAUUGAAGAAGAUCAAUCACACCAACAUUAUAAGGCUUUCAGGUUUUUGUGUACAUGAAGGAAACACAUACCUUGUCUAUGAGUACGCAGAUAAAGGCUCAGUCAGUGAUUUGCUUCACUCCAACAAGUUCCAAUCUUCAUUUACUCUUUCUUGGAAGCAAAGAGUUCAGAUUGCAUAUGAUGU